GGUCAGAUCAUACCCGCAAAGUGGCUAGGAAGGUUGUGCUUUCAUCUGGCACAAUGUCUUCCUACGCCAUCAUGAAUGAGAACUGGAUGAUCUUGAGCUGGGUGUUGCUGCAGUCAGAGUGUGAUCGGUCCCUCCAUCCCAUGUACGAGGGUCUAUCUCACCGCUACACCGCAGCUGGAGUGGAGAAGGCCAAAUUCCAGUAGGUGGACAGGGACUGCUGUGCUGCCUUUAAGGUCCUGGACUCUAAGGCUCAGGAGCACCUCUUGUGGGACAGCUGGAGGACAACAGAGGCUGUGGUGACAGAGGCAACCUCAGGAAACCUGGUGAACACAUGUGCAUCAAGGACCAAGUUUAACAAAGACAUCACCGUCAAGUUGGACUUGUUUCACUGCAUGCAGAGUUUGACCAGAGAGUGUGUCUCUGAGCACCAUCCUCUGUACAGCUCCUUUUGCCAGUUCCUGUCUGCAGCAUUUCUUGUUGUGGACCAGAGUGACCUACAACAGCUCAAGGACGCGUACAAUUUAUGUGGGCUCUCUCCUGCUAAUCCCACCAAGCAGCACAUCAGAGAGCACUGCAGAACGAAAGUGCCACAGUCCUGAGAGCUGCUGCAGAGAGUUGAGGACGUUAUGCAUCACGUUCACCUGGCAAAGGAUACAAAUGAUGUUCAGCUCUUCAAGGCCUCCAUGCUGAAGGUGUGGAGGAUUCAACGAGUCCACAUCCUGAGAGGCUGCCUGAGUGACCCAGAGGUGGUAUUCUAUACAGGUUUGGUGGCACUUUGCAGCUCAAUUACACCAAGGGUCAGGGAGCUGCUGUACCUGUUUGGAUCCCUGUGAGAGGCACAUCGCAACAGGAGGGCUUCCACUUCCACCAAGCCCAGUGGGUGACGGGCAACCGGGUGUCCAGUGAGUUGUUUCAGGCCCAGGCCAUGACUGGAGUGGUGCGCUGGAACUUCCAGAGGCUGGUGGACCUGAAGCUGCCAGGUGUGGAGCUGCCUGCUGUGUUUGACCCUCUUUUACUUGCCCAGCUGAACACAGCUUCUAUGUGACGGGGAAGGCGAAAUAUCCAGUCAUGCAGGUGUCUAACAGGAACACAGGGGAGAGGUUUGGGCUGCAGUAUGUGGAGCCAGGCUGCCGUCCUAUUUUCCUGAGCUUUGAAAAGAACAAGGAGCCGCACACCAUCUCAGCUCCUCUAGCCAUGGAGACACAGCAGCAGUCCUCCGUCGAGGAUGAAGUGCAUCCUUGUCCUACUGCUGAAGCUGGCACAGACUCUCAGGAAACCAGUGGAACUGCCCUGGAGGAUCCAAUGGGAGCCGUGCCGAUCCUGUCCCAGUCCAGGCCACUUCCUUCACCUGUAUCUGCCACAGUCAAAGCAGAAACUCU